rnacentral:rRNA from 1 species
CGCGUAGGCGGUUAGGUAAGUCGAUUGUGAAAUCCCCGGGCUCAACCUGGGAAUUGCAGUCGAGACUGUCUGACUAGAGUGUAGGAGAGGGUGGUGGAAUUCCCGGUGUAGCGGUGAAAUGCGUAGAUAUCGGGAGGAACAUCAGUGGCGAAGGCGACCACCUGGCCUAACACUGACGCUGAGGUGCGAAAGCGUGGGUAGCAAACAGGAUUAGAUACCCUGGUAGUCCACGCCGUAAACGAUGUCGACUAGCCGUUGGAGACCUUAGAGUCUUUAGUGGCGUAGCUAACGCACUAAGUCGACCGCCUGGGGAGUACGGCCGCAAGGUUAAA